UUAUCGGAGAGUUUGAUCCUGGCUCAGGACGAACGCUGGCGGCGUGCCUAAUACAUGCAAGUCGAGCGGACAGAUGGGAGCUUGCUCCCUGAUGUUAGCGA
rnacentral:rRNA from 1 species